rnacentral:RNase_P_RNA from 1 species
UCAGUCGGCCGGGCGGCCGCUUCGCAGGGCCUUGCCUUGCGGGGAGGAAAGUCCGGGCUCCACGGAAAAACGGUGCCGGCUAACUGCCGGCGGGGGCGACCCCAGGGAAAGUGCAACAGAGAGCAGACCGCCGGACCCUUCGGGGUUCGGCAAGGGUGAAAGGGUGGGGUAAGAGCCCACCGCGCUGCCGGCAACGGGAGCGGCAUGGCAAACCCCACCGGGAGCAAAACCGAAUAGGGACGGCGCGAGGGGCAACCCUCAGGGCAUUCCGGCCCGGCCGUCCGGGUUGGUUGCUUGAGGCGCGUCGCAAGACGCGUCCCAGAAGAAUGGCCGCCACGUUUCGGCGCCCUCGGGCGUCGGGGCCAUACAGAACCCGGCUUACAGGCCGACUGACGCU